rnacentral:rRNA from 1 species
ACCGGCAGCUCAAGUGGUGGCCAUUUUUAUUGGGCCUAAAGCGUUCGUAGCCGGUUUGAUAAGUCUCUGGUGAAAUCCCGCAGCUUAACUGUGGGACUUGCUGGAGAUACUAUUAGACUUGAGGUCGGGAGAGGUUAGGGGUACUCCCAGGGUAGGGGUGAAAUCCUAUAUGCCUGGGAGGACCACCUGGCGCUAAGGCUCCUAACUGGAACUAACCUGACGGUGGUUAGAGGGAGUCAUGUGCGUGAUCCU